GACGAACGCUGGCGGCGUGCCUAAUACAUGCAAGUCGAACGCAGUGGGGACGGGUGAGUAACACGUGGGUAACCUCCCCUCAGAGGGGAUAACACUUGGAAACAGGUGCUAAACCGAUACUGAUGGAUGAACCCGCGGUGCAUUAGCUAGUGGGUGAGGUAACGGCUCACCAAGGCCACGAUGCAGAGGCGGACUGGUGGGGGGAACGGGCACACUGGGACGGAGGAAACGCCCAGACUCCGAAGGUAGGCAGCAGUAGGGAAUCUUGGGCAAUGGACGAAAGUCUGACCGAGCAACGCCGCGGGAGUGAAGAAGGUUUUCGGAUCGUAAAGCUCUGUUGUUAGAGAAGCGGUAACUAACCAGAAAGGGACGGCUAACUACGUGCCAGCAGCCGCGGUAAUUC
rnacentral:rRNA from 1 species